GAAAGACGAGACCUGGGUUUACCAGGGAUGACCACAUGAGUGACUUCGGGCAAUGCUCGGCAACAGCCGGCAGUUGUCAGAUCGAAAGUUAAGUGCAUCUGGGGCUCAAAGACUAUAGUCCCAAGUUCCAGCAUGCCUCCCUCUACCGCGCUCCACAAGGGCUGCCAUGUGGCUACUAGGACUUGAACUCAAUUGUGCUCAACUUAACUACUAACUCACACUAGACAUUUACUCAUGCUACAAGUCGGAGAAAAUGACAGCAGCACUGUGUGAUGGAACACAAGGAACAAAAAUAAGGUCACUUGAAUCACCUUCCAAAGUCUCCAUUCUGCAAGAUGGCUACUCAGUUGUGUUCUGAAGUACUAUUUCAAAUGUAACUGAAACUUAGCUUUUAUUUGAAAUCCUAUCUUCUCAAUGCAGGGAGGGCAGUUUUAAGAUCCUCACUGAAUGCCUAAAACAGUGGAAGCUACCAACCUCCAGCAAGGUAGUCAACAGUGAUGUUCAUCUUUCCAUUAAAGCGAAGAACUUGUGGUUAA